AUGGUGUACGAGACGGCUUGAUUAGGGUUUCUUAUAAAAUCUGUUUGUUUACACGGCUAGGGUUUUUGCUCGGAUGAUUAGAGUUUCAUGCUGAUAACGUGUUGUAAAUAAAGAGAGAAAAAGAGAAUUAGUUGUUCUUAUUCAUAACAUAAUGUGUCAUUUAUAUAUAGAGAAUUACAAGAGGUAUAGACCGUCAUAGAUAAAUGAAA
rnacentral:lncRNA from 1 species